GAUGAACGCUAGCUACAGGCUUAACACAUGCGAGUCGAGGGGAAACGACAUUGAAGCUUGCUUCGAUGGUCGUCGACCGGCGCACGGGUGAGUAACGCGUAUCCAACCUGCCUCUGACCAAGGGAUAACCCGUCGAAAGUCGGCCUAAUACCUUAUGCAGUCGUCGGAAGUCAUCUGAUGACGACGAAAGAUUUCAUCGGUGAGAGAUGGGGAUGCGUCUGAUUAGCUUGUUGGCGGGGUAACGGCCCACCAAGGCAACGAUCAGUAGGGGUUCUGAGAGGAAGGUCCCCCACAUUGGAACUGAGACACGGUCCAAACUCCUACGGGAGGCAGCAGUGAGGAAUAUUGGUCAAUGGGCGAGAGCCUGAACCAGCCAAGUAGCGUGCAGGAUGACGGCCCUAUGGGUUGUAAACUGCUUUUAUGCGGGGAUAAAGUGAGGGACGUGUCCUUCAUUGCAGGUACCGCAUGAAUAAGGACCGGCUAAUUCCGUG
rnacentral:rRNA from 1 species